rnacentral:rRNA from 1 species
GGCGCACGGGUGAGUAACACGUGACUAACCUACCUCCGAGUGGGGAAUAACUUCGGGAAACCGAGGCUAAUACCGCAUAACACUUACGAGUCAAAGCAGCAAUGCGCUUGGAGAGGGGGUCGCGGCAGAUUAGCUAGUUGGCGGGGUAAUGGCCCACCAAGGCGAUGAUCUGUAUCCGGCCUGAGAGGGCGCACGGACACACUGGAACUGAAACACGGUCCAGACUCCUACGGGAGGCAGCAGUGGGGAAUUUUGCGCAAUGGGGGAAACCCUGACGCAGCAACGCCGCGUGGAGGAUGAAGUCUCUUGGGACGUAAACUCCUUUCGAUCGGGACGAUUAUGACGGUACCGGAAGAAGAAGCCCCGGCUAACUUCGUGCCAGCAGCCGCGGUAAUACGAGGGGGGCAAGCGUUGUUCGGAAUUAUUGGGCGUAAAGGGCGCGUAGGCGGUUUGGCAAGUCUAGUGUGAAAUCUUCGGGCUCAACUCGAAGUCUGCACUGGAAACUGCCGGGCUUGAGUAUGGGAGAGGUGAGUGGAAUUUCCGGUG